AAUAGAGUUCCCCUUUGUACGUAAAUAAUGUCUCUCGUCAAAAUUCAAAGCAAUGGCAAUGACAAUGACACUCGUUUUCCCAAACGCAUAAUCCUGGUCCGUCACGGCGAGUGUUCAGCAAACGCCGAUAUCAAUGUGUACGGAACAACUCCAAAUCACAAAAUUGAACUGACGGAGAAAGGGAUUGAGCAGGCCAAGCAAACUGGAACCCGGAUUAAGAAACUGAUUUCUGAAAAUGAUAAGAAUUGGAAGGUUUUCUUCUAUGUUUCGCCUGCAGAGCGAACGAGAAGGACGCUGAGAGAGAUGGGUGGAUCGUUCCCAAAGAGGAGAGUGAUGGGUGUGAAGGAAGAGUAUAGGCUGAGAGAAUUGAAUUUUGGAAACUAUCACGACCCUGCAAGUAUAGGAAAGAUUAAGAAGGAACGAGUAACGUAUGGGAGGUUUUAUUAUAGAGUACCUGGUGGUGAAACUGGAGCUGAAGUUUAUGAUCGUAUAUCAAGUUAUAUUGAAUGCUUGAGGAGGGACAUAGAAAUGAAAAAGUUUUGUGAUGAAGAAACCAACAUCAUCAUCGUUACCCAUGGACUGUCCAGUCGGAUCUUCCUCAUGAAAUGGUUCGACUGGACAAUCGAGCAAUUUGAGGAUCUCAACAGGAUGAAGACGAGUGAAUUUCAAGUGUUGCAAUUAGGUCAUGGCGGGGAAUACAGCCUAGCAUUUCAUCACGAUGACAAGAAACUUGGCGAAUGGGGGCUAUCUCCUGAUAUGAUAGAGGAUCAAAAAUGUAAAGCUUAUGGUCCUAAUGGAGUUAAAUGGCAGGGAACUUGUGAUUCAUAUCCUUUCAUGGAUUGUUUUGCACAAGAUUCAGAGGAUGAGAAUACUAUUAUCUAAAUUACCACUAGUUAGUUAUUAAGGUGUAUGAAUAAAAUUGAUGUAAUUGGAUUGUUAUUAACUUAAAAACUCCCUCUCUGUU
rnacentral:misc_RNA from 1 species